AUUGAACGCUGGCGGCAUGCUUUACACAUGCAAGUCGAACGGCAGCGCGGGGGCAACCCUGGCGGCGAGUGGCGAACGGGUGAGUAAUGUAUCGGAACGUAUCCUGUAAUGGGGGAUAACCAGUCGAAAGAUUGGGUAAUACCGCAUACGCACGAGAGUGGAAAGUAGGGGAUCGCAAGACCUUACGUUAUAGGAGCGGCCGAUAUCUGAUUAGCUAGUUGGUGAGGUAAAGGCUCACCAAGGCGACGAUGGGUAGCCGGCCUGAGAGGGUGAACGGCCACACUGGGACUGAGACACGGCCCAGACUCCUACGGGAGGCAGCAGUGGGGAAUAUUGGACAAUGGGCGAAAGCCUGAUCCAGCAAUGCCGCGUGAGUGAUGAAGGCCUUAGGGUUGUAAAGCUCCUUUACCAGGGAUGAUAAUGACAGUACCUGGAGAAUAAGCUCCGGCUAACUCCGUG
rnacentral:rRNA from 1 species